GAUGAACGCUAGCGAUAGGCUUAACACAUGCAAGUCGCGGGGCAGCACAAGGUAGCUUGCUAUCUGGGUGGCGACCGGCGCACGGGUGCGUAACGCGUAUGCAACUUGCCCUAUACAGGAGGAUAACCCGUCGAAAGACGGACUAAUACUGCGUAUGCUCACAACUUGGCAUCAAGUGGUGAGGAAAGAAAUUCGGUAUAGGAUAGGCAUGCGUCCCAUUAGCUUGUUGGUGAGGUAACGGCUCACCAAGGCAACGAUGGGUAGGGGAACUGAGAGGUUUAUCCCCCACACUGGUACUGAGACACGGACCAGACUCCUACGGGAGGCAGCAGUGAGGAAUAGUGGUCAAUGGGCGCGAGCCUGAACCAGCCAAGUCGCGUGAAGGAUGACUGUCUUAUGGAUUGUAAACUUCUUUUAUACGGGAAUAACAAGAGUCACGUGUGACUCCCUGCAUGUACCGUAUGAAUAAGCAUCGGCUAACUCCGUG
rnacentral:rRNA from 1 species